rfam:Parcubacteria bacterium GW2011_GWA2_38_27 TS88_C0005, whole genome shotgun sequence.
GCCUCCUUAGCUUAGUGGCAAAGCAGCGGUUUUGUAAACCGCAGACGCGGGUCCAAUUCCUGCAGGAGGCU